rnacentral:rRNA from 1 species
ACGCUGUCGGCGUGCUUAACACAUGCAAGUCGAGCGGUAAGGCCCUUCGGGGUACACGAGCGGCGAACGGGUGAGUAACACGUGGGUGAUCUGCCUUGCACUCUGGGAUAAGCCUGGGAAACUGGGUCUAAUACCGGAUAUGACCUUUGGUUGCAUGACCGGGGGUGGAAAGAUUUAUCGGUACAAGAUGAGCCCGCGGCCUAUCAGCUUGUUGGUGGGGUAAUGGCAUACCAUGGCGAAGACGGGUAGCCGGCAUGAGAGGGCGACCGGCCACCAUGGUCCUGAGACACGCCCCAGACUCGUACGGGAGGCAGCAGUGGGGAAUAUUGCACAAUGGGCGGAAGCCUGAUGCAGAGACGCCGGGUGAGGGAUGACGGCCUUCGGGUUGUAAACCUCUUUCGACUCAGACGAAGCGAGAGUGACGGUAGGAGUAUAAGAAGCACCGGCCAACUACGUGCCAGCAGCCGCGGUAAUACGUAGGGUGCGAGCGUUGUCCGGAAUUACUGGGCGUAAAGAGCGUGUAGGCGGCUUGUCGCGUCGAUGGUGAAAACUCGGGGCUCAACCCCGAGCUUGCCGUCGAUACGGGCAGGCUUGAGUACUUCAGGGGAGACUGGAAUUCCUGGUGUAGCGGUGAAAUGCGCAGAUAUCAGGAGGAACACCGAUGGCGAAGGCGGGUCUCUGGGAAGUAACUGACGCUGAGAAGCGAAAGCGUGGGUAGCGAACAGGAUUAGAUACCCUGGUAGUCCACGCCGUAAACGGUGGGUACUAGGUGUGGGUUUCCUUCCACGGGAUCCGUGCCGUAACUAACGCAUUAAGUACCCCGCCUGGGGAGUACGGCCGCAAGGCUAAAACUCAAAGGAAUUGACGGGGGCCCGCACAAGCGGCGGAGCAUGUGGAUUAAUUCGAUGCACGCGAAGAACCUUACCUGGGUUUGACAUACACCGGAAACCUGCAAAAAUGUAGGCCCCCUUGUGGUCGGUGUACAGGUGGUGCAUGGCUGUCGUCAGCUCGUGUCGUGAGAUGUUGGGUUAAGUCCCGCAACGAGCGCAACCCUUAUCUUAUGUUGCCAGCGCGUAAUGGCGGGGACUCGUGAGAGACUGCCGGGGUCAACUCGAAGGAAGGUGGGGACGACAUCAAGUCAUCAUGCCCCUUAUGUCCAGGGCUUCACACAUGCUACAAUGGCCGGUACAGAGGGCUGCGAUACCGUGAGGUGGAGCGAAUCCCUUAAAGCCGGUCUCAUUCGGAUCGGGGUCUGCAACUCGACCCCGUGAAUUUGGAGUCGCUAUUAAUCACAAAUCUGCAACGCUGCAGUGAAUACGUUCCCGGGCCUUGUACACACCGCCCGUCACAUCAUGAAAGUCGGUAACACCCUAAUCCGGUGGCCUAACCCUUGUGGACGGAGCCGUCGAAGGUGGGAUCGGCGAUUGAGACGAAAGUCGAUGACCAAGGUA